UACGUAGGAUGCAAGCGUUGUCCGGAAUUACUGGGCGUAAAGGGCGAGCAGGUGGCACUACAAGUCUGAUGUAAAAUCUCCCGGCUUAACUGGGAGGGGCCAUUGGAAACUGUAGAGCUGGAGUGCAGGAGAGGCUAACGGAAUUCCCGGUGUAGUGGUGAAAUGCGUAGAUAUCGGGAGGAAUACCUAUGGCGAAAGCAGGCUUCUGGGCCGUCACUGACGCUGAGCUGCGAAAGCUAGGGGAGCAAACAGG
rnacentral:rRNA from 1 species